rnacentral:rRNA from 1 species
GAUUUUAUAUUUUAAUUAAGAUUAUUAGAAAUUUAUUUUUUAGUUAUGAUUGGGGUGAUUUUUAAAGAUUAUUAAUCUUUAAAAUUUUUUAAUAAAAAAGUUCCAUUAGUAGUGAUUUUUUGAUAAAAAUACUCUAGGGAUAACAGCGUUAUUAUUUUGGAUAGUUCAUAUAGAUAAAAUAGUUUGCGACCUCGAUGUUGGAUUAGAGAUCGGAUUCUUUUAUGAUGAAGAAGUUAUAAGGGAGAAGUUUGCUCAACUUUUAAAGUCCUACUUGAUCUGAGUUCAGACGGGA